GAAAUCCGGAUUAAUACCCCAUAAUGCAGGGGUACCUCCUGGUACUAUUUGCUAAAGAUUUAUCGGUUGUGGAUGGGCAUGCGUCUGAUUAGUUUGUUGGUGAGGUAACGGCUCACCAAGACGGCGAUCAGUAGGGGGUCUGAGAGGAUGAUCCCCCACACUGGCACUGAGAUACGGGCCAGACUCCUACGGGAGGCAGCAGUAGGGAAUAUUGGGCAAUGGGCGAGAGCCUGACCCAGCCAUGCCGCGUGAAGGAUGAAGGCCUUCUGGGUUGUAAACUUCUUUUAUACAGGAAGAAAAAGGUCAUGCGUGACCAAUUGACGGUACUGUAUGAAUAAGCACCGGCUAACUCCGUGCCAGCAGCCGCGGUAAUACGGAGGGUGCAAGCGUUGUCCGGAUUUAUUGGGUUUAAAGGGUGCGUAGGCGGUGCGUUAAGUCAGUGGUGAAAUCUCUCGGCUCAACCGAGAAACUGCCAUUGAUACUGGCGCACUCGAGUACGGACGANGUAGGCGGAAUUUAUGGUGUAGCGGUGAAAUGCAUAGAUACCAUAAAGAACACCGAUAGCGAAGGCAGCUUACUAGACCGU
rnacentral:rRNA from 1 species